rnacentral:snoRNA from 1 species
GACCUCCCAGGAUCGCGUCUGGAGAAUGGCUAGUGUUCUACCAGCUUCGGAGAUGGGAGGGAAAGUAAGCCUGGCAGAGAUGCCCAUUCCAUUCCCAGUUUACUCAGUAGCUGGUGAUUGGAAGAUCCUCUGCGACAGUG